rfam:Triticum urartu cultivar G1812 contig1020198, whole genome shotgun sequence.
AUAGUACUCACUCCGUUCGGAAUUACUUGUCGCAGAAAUGGAUGUAUCUAGAUGUAUUUUAGUUCUAGAUACAUCCAUAUCCGACACAAAUAAUUCCGAACGGAGGGAGUAUAUA